rnacentral:rRNA from 1 species
GACGAACGCUGGCGGCGUGCUUAACACAUGCAAGUCGAACGGAAAGGCCCUGCUUUUGUGGGGUGCUCGAGUGGCGAACGGGUGAGUAACACGUGAGUAACCUGCCCUUGACUUUGGGAUAACUUCAGGAAACUGGGGCUAAUACCGGAUAGGAGCUCCUGCUGCAUGGUGGGGGUUGGAAAGUUUCGGCGGUUGGGGAUGGACUCGCGGCUUAUCAGCUUGUUGGUGGGGUAGUGGCUUACCAAGGCUUUGACGGGUAGCCGGCCUGAGAGGGUGACCGGCCACAAUGGGACUAAGAGACGGCCCAGACGCCUACGGGAGGCAGCAGUGGAGAAUAUUGCACAAUGGGCGGAAGCCUGAGGCAGCAACGCCGCGUGCGUGAUGACGUCCUUCGGGGUGUAAACCGCUUUCGCCUGUGACGAAGCGUGAGUGACGGUAAUGGGUAAAGAAGCACCGGCUAACUACGUG